rnacentral:misc_RNA from 1 species
GUCAACGUAAACUUUCCUUCCAUCUCCAUUUGUGUACCAAUGACCUGCAGAUUUGCCAACUGCCUGCACCCUUCUCCUGCCAGCAUCUUUUGGAAUACCAGCAGAGCUCUUAGGGUUCACCCAUCUCUCGGAUCCUUGUGAUUCUUCCACGUUAUUUGGUUGUUUCACAUUCUUUCUGCUCUUUCUAGAGUUUGUUCCAUCAGCAGAUUUCUGAGCAGUCCUUUUAGAGCCUCCUUCAUGAGAAAAUUGACCCAUGUAAUCUAUUACUGAUGCAUCAUCUAGGUUUCCUCCAGGAAGAUUGUCAGCACCCAAGGGGAAAAAGUUAGGCAAACGAUCACGUACUAGCUUUUGGAUUCUUGGAUCUUUAUGGAAAAAGUAACAGUGAGCAGGGAGAAGAGGGCCCUGAGGUCGCAUGUAACUUUCAGUUAAACCACUCUUAGUAGUCUGAGUUCUUUUUCCAUCUUUUACCGAUUUG